rnacentral:rRNA from 1 species
CACGUAGGGUGCGAGCGUUGUCCGGAAUUAUUGGGCGUAAAGAGCUCGUAGGCGGUGUGUCGCGUCGGCCGUGAAAACCUGCAGCUUAACUGUGGGCGUGCGGUCGAUACGGGCAUCCCUGGAGUUCGGCAGGGGAGACUGGAAUUCCUGGUGUAGCGGUGAAAUGCGCAGAUAUCAGGAGGAACACCGGUGGCGAAGGCGGGUCUCUGGGCCGAUACUGACGCUGAGGAGCGAAAGCGUGGGGAGCGAACAGG